AGAUUAGCGUGGAGCGGUGCAUCCUGGGAGUACAUUCACUCGGGGAAGGAGAGGAAGAGCUUUUUUGAAUAUUUUUCUGGGAGUUGAAGUUGUUCGGAAUCGCUGCUUCUCUUUUCGGCUAUCCGUGAGUCUCUGGGUGUAGAGGGCUGCCUCAGUCUUUCAGGCCUGGAGAAGUAAUCGACGCCGCGCACGCACCUUUCUGCCCCGGACCCAGACGGCCUCAGCAUCAGAACCCGAAAAGGAAGCUAAGCACAGGGCAGGGUGGCUGCCGCCGUCUCUCCGAGCCACCAGGAACUGACCAUCCCAGCCCUCGUUCCAUAGGCCCACCCUUUGACCCAUUUAGUAUCUGGGCUGGUUUCAGGCCCUGGCCCGGGAGAUUGACACGGAUCUUUGAGCAGUUUCCUGCUUUACCAUGCUCUCUUGUGAUAUUUGUGGUGAAACAGUAACCUCAGAACCAGACAUGAAGGCUCACCUAAUUGUUCAUAUGGAAGAUGAUGUUAUAUGUCCAUUUUGCAAAUUGUCAGGUGUGAGUUAUGAUGAAAUGUGUUUUCAUAUUGAAACUGCUCAUUUUGAGCAAAAUGAGCUAGAAAGAAACAUUGAGAGGAUUAAUUCAGUACAGUACGGAACUUCUGACAACAGGACGGACAGCACCCUGCAGUGUAGAAUGGAAGUUAAUUCAAGUAUUCAUUCAGCUUGUGCGUCUAAUCAUCCGAAAAUUUUAGCUCAAAGUCUGCCUAAGGAAGGAUCUUUAAAACAUAAAGGCUUUCAUUCAGAGAAUGUAACUGAAUCCAGAAAAUUUCUGAAAAGUAAGGAAAAACAGUCUGACCUAACCAAAAUAAAAGGAUCAAUUUAUGAAACAAUGUAUAGUCCUCCUGAAUGCCCAUUCUGUGGAAAAAUAGAAGAUUGUAGUCAAGAUAUGGAAACUCAUGUGAAAACAAAGCAUACCAACCUUUUAGAUACUCCAUUAGAAGACUGUGAUGAACCACUCUAUGACUGCCCUAUGUGUGGGCUUAUCUGUACAAAUUACCAUAUUCUCCAGGAACAUGUUGACUUGCAUUUGGAAGAAAGCGGCUUUGGACAAGGCAUGGAUAGAGUCCAGUGUUCUAGAGAUCUAGAAUUGGCUCAACAGCUUCAACAAGAAGAAGACAGAAAGAGGAGAUCUGAAGAGUCAAGACAAGAAAUGGAAGAAUUUCGGAAGCUGCAGAGACAGUACGGUUUGGAUAAUUCUGGAGGGUACAAACAACAGCAGCUACGAAAUAUGGAGAUAGAAGUGAAUAGGGGAAAAAUGCAUCCAUCUGAAUUUCAUAGAAGAAAAGCUGAUAUGAUGGAAUCACUAGCUAUCGGUAUUGAUGAUGGAAAAACAAAAACUUCUGGAAUUAUGGAAGCACUUUACAGGUAUUACCAGAAUGCUGCCACAGAUGUGAGACGUGUGUGGCUUUCUACAGUAGUGGAUCACUUUCAUUCAUCUUUUGGUGACAAAGGUUGGGGUUGUGGUUACAGAAAUUUCCAAAUGCUGCUUUCGUCAUUAUUACAAAAUGAUGCUUAUGGUGAUUGCCUCAAAGAUAUGUCGGUUCCAUGCAUUCCAAAAAUUCAGUCUAUGAUUGAAGAUGCGUGGAAGGAAGGUUUUGAUCCUCAGGGUGCCUCUCAACUUAAUAACAGGUUACAAGGAACAAAGGCCUGGAUCGGAGCAUGUGAAGUAUAUACACUUCUGACCUCCCUAAGGAUAAAGUGUCGUAUUAUUGACUUUCACAAGUCGACUGGUCCUUUGGGUACACACCCUCGCUUAUUUGAAUGGAUAUUGAACUAUUAUUCUUCAGAGAGGGAGGGGAGUCCAAAAGUAGUGUGUACAUCUAAACCUCCUAUUUAUCUUCAGCAUCAAGGUCAUAGUCGAACAAUUGUUGGAAUUGAAGAGAGAAAAAACCGAACAUUAUGUUUACUAAUAUUUGAUCCUGGAUGGCCUUCUCGAGACAUGCAGAAAUUCUUAAAGCAAGACAUGGAAGCUAGCAGUCUCAAGCAACUUCGGAAAUUUGUGGGAAAUUUAAAACAUAAGCAGUAUCAGAUAGUGGCAGUAGAAGGUGUUCUUUCUUCAGAGGAGAAAAUUGCCAGGAGACAAGCUUCUCAAGUCUUUACAGCUGAGAAGAUUCCUUGAAGAAGAAAGAAGCUUUCAGAUUCAUGUUGGAUUUGCCAUGUAAGGUUGCAAGCAAGAAUCCUACUCUGGCCAAUUUAAACAGAAGAGAAUUCAUUGAAAUUAACAGAAGCUCACAGAUUCCACAGGUAACUAGGGAACUGUGCUAGAACCAAGGCAACUCUUGAGGCUAGAAUAUGGCCUGAUUUAGGGGGGAGCAGUCAAGUUAGGAGCUGAGGUAGAAUGUCUCUGCUCAAAUAUCAGAUUCCAGAGUAGGCAGAUCUGAUUAGCAUGUGACCAUAUGCCGCAAGACAGAGACAGUUUCUCUAAAGGAAAUCAAGGUAGAUGAAGAAAUAGAUAAUAAACAGUAAAAGAGAGAAGCAGCAAGUGUCUACUAUCCCAUGAAAAAAUGAAUAAGAACUUACUGGAAUGAAGUUCUAGAAAUAUCUAUUGCAUCAAAUACUGAAAGUUACACUCCAAGUGAAUAAUAUUGCCAGUUGGAAAACUCUAGAAGCCAGCCUUUCUAAUAUUCUGUCCUUUAGACUGGUAACCAGAUUUUUAUUGUAUUUUCCCAUGAAGUUAUGUUACUUCCUACUAUCAUUGUCUCAUAUCUAGACAAUGUGAAAACCUCCUAACUGGCUUCCAUGUCUUAAUCCUAUGUCAGUCCAUUUUCCACAAGGAAACCAAGUGGUUUUAAAACACAAAUGUGAUUUUGAGACUCCUUGGUUGAAUCCUCUUCAUUGCUCUAAGAUAAAAUUCAGCUGGUGCUACCUGGGGCCCUUUUCCCCUUAGUUCUCCUUCUCUUACAAGGGCUUCCUCUUAGAAGUGCUUCCUGACUGCUCACGUUUGGAUUAAAUGCACCUUUUAAAUGUUUGAUAAGCAGCCUUUCUCAAAGUAGAAGUCACUAAUCUGCAGAUCGCUGGUCUAUGACAAGAUAAUUACAGAAAUUACAGUUGCUGACAUACUUCUGUUUUAUCUUACAAAGGUAAUAGUAAUGGAUUAGAAAUUUUUUAAAAGUUGGUUCAUCAUCAUACACAGUUUGAGAAACACUGUCCUGUGGUAUAAUUGUAUCACAAUACCUGCUAUUCUAAUUAUCUAUCUACUUUUUAUACUUCCCUCUUUGAAUGUAAGCUCUUAAGAUUUCAAAAGCAAUGUCUAAUUUUUAACAGUAGCCUCAGGGCACAUAUUGGGCUUAAAAAUACUUUUUUUGGUGAACGGAAAUAACUAGCUUCAGAAAAGCAGUGAUGGAAAAGUCUGGAUAUCCCAGCUAGCCAUCUUUAUGCAAAUCGCUUUUCCCCAAAUUAGAUAAAGCCAACUUCAGUAGGAUGAAAGAGUUACAUUGAGAAGUUUCUUUAAGAAGUAACAAGUAGAAGAGUUAAAAAAUUUGAAUUUUUUCCACAGUCUUUCGAGCAGGUAGUUGAAUUAUAUACCAUUUCCCCAGGGUGAAGGAGGAGAUAUAUAUACACACACACACAUAUACACACACACACCACAGUAUACACUAUAUCACAGAUCAUUUAAGAAUACAUGCUCUAGGAGUUCCCGUCGUGGCUCAGUGGUUAAUGAAUCCGACUAGGAACCAUGAGGUUGCAGGUUUGAUCCCUGACCUUGCUCAGUGGGUUAAGGAUCCGGUGUGAGCUGUGGUGUAGGUUGCAGAUGUGGUUCAGAUCCCACGUUGCUGUGGCUCUGGCGUAGGCCGGUGGCUACAGCUCCGAUUGGACCCCUAGCCUGGGAACCUCCAUAUGCCGUGGGUGCGGCCCCAGAAAAGGCAAAAAGACAAAAAAAAAAAGAAUACAUGUUCUAAUUUAGUUAUUUUCCGUAUUUUUGGCUUCAGCAUUCCUUGACACUCAAAAAAUAUUGAAGUUCUCAGGAAGCUUUUGUGAGUUAGCAAGUAUGUAUUUCCAGGCUUGCCAUGUUAGGAGUUCCACGGUGGCCUAGCAGGGUAAGGAUCUGGCGUUGUCAGUGCUGUGGCUCUGGUCACUAUUCUGGUACAUAUUCAGUCUCUGAACCUGGAACUUCUGCAUGCUGCGGCAUGGUCAAAAAGAAAAAAGGAAAAAAAGAAAUUAAACCUGAGGCUUAAAAAAAAAUGAAAACAUGGAAGCACAUAUCCCAUUAGCUGUAGCCAUAAGAAUAGUAAUGUAAAACAGUGUCAUUUAGCCUCUGCAAAAUCAAUUGGGCAUCAUUUUUGGUUUUUUUUUGUUGUUGUUGUUGUUCUUUGAUUUGGGGACGGGGGGCACACCUGAGGCCUGCAAAAGGCCAGGGAUCAAACCCCUACCACAGCAGUGGCUAUGACAGAUCCUUAACUUGCUGAGCUACCAGAGAACUCCCAUUGAGCAUCUUUCUUAAAGCACAUAUUAACAGUUCCACAUAUGAAAUUCAAAUUUUAUGUUUUCAAGGAAUGGUAUUUUGUGCAUGAAUAGUUGUCACAUGUAUGUAUAUAAAAUCACUUUCAAAUAAGAUGUUGUGUAUAUCAGUCUCUCACAUAAGACUGAACUAAUUUUAUUUUUAUUGGUCAUAAUCAUCUUCCUCAUCUUCAUCCUCCUCAGUUUCUUCAUUUUCUUCGGUGAGGUUUACAGCUACUUCUUGUGCAGCCCUGAAAGCCUGCUCCUCUUCCACACUAGGGUCAUCCAUUUCUGUAAUUUCUGGUCCACUAGGAUACUCUUGAUAAACUGGUGGUGGAACUGGAGGUGUAUAGCUGUCUGGACUGUAUUUAUGACCCCACCCUAUGUAGAGGUUUUCAAACUUUCUAGAAGUUAAAAAAAAAAGUAGACCGUUAUAUAUAAUUUUUCAGUAAGAAAAGCUGAUCCUUCUUUCCUGUAAGGAUAAAGUAUUUAGAGUAUCAUAGUCCCACAAUGUUAAAAAAAAAAAAAAGUGCAUUUAAAAUGCAUUAGAGGUAAAAUAUCCCUAAGUGAUUCCUCCACCACAGGGAAUUACUAUGAUCAAAAGCUAGUUAAGAAGACCAUGGGGCCAGACCCUGUCAAAAUGUACCCUACACCUGGACCACAGCCUUUCAUCUUUUAAUUAUUUUCAGAAAAACAAAACAACUAAGUUAAAAGUUUCUCACCUUCCUUAGAGUUAGAAUUAAGAAGUUGCUGGCCUAUGGGUGAUUUUUUUAAGGCCCAACUUGGAGGAUGAGAAAACCUUUAGGGCGUCAGCCUCACAGGGGAAACUGCCCGCUCCACACCAGACUUGGCAAGCAGCCAGGGCACUGCAGUCUAAGGGGAGGGGUGGGCAGGGACUCUCGCCCUCUGGCCUGUCAUACACUUCACACAUUUGUGUUCCUGGCUCAGGUGCCUUCAUUUGAGGCCUUCAGCAGAGACCUUCAGGCCCCUCUGCCAAGGCCUCCUUAUGGGGGUUGAAUGAGAAAAGGGGAAACCUUACAGACACUUUUCCCCACUCAUGACUCCUUACUUAGUACUUGUCCCCUCCCUACCUUCCGCUGUCUCCCAGGCCCAUAAAACUGCAAGAUCCUUAUGUCGGGGACUUCCUUGUCAGUGAGAUGACCCCCACAACUGUGGUGACCCAUCUGACCUUCCUCAGUGUGCUAUUCCAUGGGCAAAUGGGAAAGGGGGGAAUCAUCACUGUCUCUUCUUAUACUAUCAUCACAACAAGUGAUGAAAGGCUCAACACUUCCAUUUUUGGCUUGUUAUUUAAUGGCUAAUCUGACAUUUGACUGCCCAGCUCUCUCCAGUUUGAUCGAGCUUCUGACCCAAAGAAAGAAAUGGAAGCCUAAGACAAAUGGAAGUGUAUACUCUCAAUGAGAAAUAAAAAGACAUUUACCACCCUCUUGAUCCUAAUUAUCUUGAAAGCUUAAUAUAUAUUUUAAAUUAUCUUUAACUCAGAUAUCCAACCAAAAUGAGAUUUAAACUAAUUAAACACUACUUAAAAUGACCUCCAAUAAAUGAAUGUCAAUUGCUCAAAUAAUCAUAGAAGAAAAAACAUACCUUAGCUCCAUUAAUUGGAUAAUUCAGAUGAAAAGGCAGAAGUCUGAGUCACUCAAAUGUCAAAAAUUUUGAUGCUUUGUUGUAUAAGACAGAUGUUGUUUGAAUAAAUCUUAUGCCAUACACACUUAACAUGCCAAAGAAGAGUUAAAAUAGUAGUAACAUUCCAGUGAUAGCUUAUAAUUUCCAGAAGUUAAAUGAUCAAAAUAAUGGCCUUGUAAGUUGUCACAUACUUACUUGCCAUUGGAAAAGGCAUAUGCUCCAGGCCAAAGGUUGGAUCUAAGGACUGCAAUAGCAUAUUGAGGAAUUAGAUUUGAGGAUAACCGUGUUGUCCAAGGCGGUAUAUUUUGGAUCUCUACAAACCAAAGAGAAAUUUGAAAUAGACUUAACUCCUAAAUAGACAAGCAUAUACUGUGUAACAGAAAAGAUAUAUUUAUAUAUCUUAACACAUAUACAACUUGACAUAGAAAAGUUAAAACAUCAAUAGCUUAAUAUAAAAUCAGGAGGGUAUUAUAUGAACCUUCUGGAACAAUGAAAUUUGAAAAAAAUGUAUGUAUAUGUGUGUAUUUGUAAACAGAAAAUAAGUUUUAUAAUUGUGUCUAUAUAUGUAUAUGUGUACAUUUGUACAACAUAGUAAGUUUCACUAAGGGAGAGGAAGCCUAUGUUGUGGAGGGAAAAAUAUUUGAAAGAGAGCUAGGGUUACAAGCAUGAAACCUCCAAAACUGAAGAGGAAGAAAAACGAAUAUGAGAAAGGGGGAGUUCCCGUCGUGGCGCAGUGGUUAACGAAUCCGACUAGGAACCAUGAGGUUGCGGGUUCGGUCCCUGCCCUUGCUCAGUGGGUUAACGAUCCGGCGUUGCCGUGAGCUGUGGUGUAGAUCGCAGACACGGCUCGGAUCCCGCGUUGCUGUGGCUCUGGUGUAGGCCGGUGGCUACAGCUCCGAUGAGACCCCUAGCCUGGGAACCUCCAUAUGCCGUGGGAGCGGCCCAAGAAAUAGCAAAAAAAAAAAAAAAAAAAGAAUAUGAGAAAAAUAAUAGACUAGGAAAAAAAAAAAAAAACUCCAAAACAGUACCUUAUAAUAUUUUACUCUGUAGAAUGUAAAAUAAGAAUGAUACAAAAGAUAACUGUCAGCAUUUCCAGUAAGAGCUACAGACAAUUUAUGUUUCCUUUCUCCAUCGCACUCCUGCAGCCUCUGUCUAGAAAAUUCUUGAAGGGGCUAGCUAGCUACAUUAGUCUUUAUUCCCACCAUUUACUCUGUGUGUGUGUGUGUGUGUGUGUGUGUGCGCGCGCGCGCGCGCGUGUGUGCGUGUGCGUGCGCGUGCGUGAGUUUCCCGUGCUAAAGUAGAGCAUUCCUAUGAAAUUGUUUGUAAGCCUAAAUGACAGAGUGAAGAAGCAGUUACCUUAGGAUAUAUCUUGCUAAUAGAUGCACAAAAUAAAUUGAAAUGAUAAAGCACAGAUGCUGACAGACACAGUCCAAAGCUACUUGACGCUGAGUAUAGUUUCUGGGGAAUAAACUUGGAGGUGUGCCCCUCUGACAGCUUAGAGCAUGUGCUACCUCCAGCUGCUUGGUGCAAAACAAGUGCUGGACACUUUUUGCUUUUGCCUUUUUUUUUUUUUUUUUUUUUUUUUUUUGUAAAAGAGAAAAUCCUCUUUGGAUUUCUAUAAAAGAGGAUUUUCCCUUUAAAAAAAAAAAAAGGUACUAAUAGGUCCUAAAAUAGGUAAUUCAUAAAAGCAAAGUGGUGUAAGGCAACCUUUGCAAAAGCAGGAGAUACCUGUGUAUAUAUACACUUAAUAUUGUAUGUGUAUAUGUGUAUAUAUAUAUAUAAAAUAUCAUAUAUAUUCAUGGUACAGUCAUAUUUUUAUUGUGCCUCACAGACACAGAGUUAUUUUACAAAUUCAAGUUUUGUGGCAACCUUGUGUCAAGCAAGUCUGUUGACACCAUUUUUCCAAUAGCGUUUGCUUGUUCCUGUCUCUGGGUCACAGUUUGGUAAUUCUUGCAGUAUUUCAAACUUUUUCUUUAUUAUAUUUGUUAUGGUAAUCUGUGAUCAGUGAUCUUUAAUGCUAAUAUUUAAUGUUUAAUUGUUUUGGGGCACCCCAAACCAUGCCCAUGUAAAAUAGAGAACUUAAUUCCAUAAAUGGAUUACUAGAGAUAGUGGGUUAGGGAAGGGGGAAUUGAAAUUGAAGGAAGGUAGUCAAAAGACACAAGCUUCCAGUUGUAAGUACUGGAGCUGUCAAGUACAACAUAAUUAAUGCUAAAGUAUGUUAUAUGUGAAAAUUGUGACUAGUGUAAAUCCUAAGGAUUGUCAUUACAAGGAAAUAUUUUUAUUUAUUUUUUAUAUGAGAUGCUAGGUGGUCACUAAACUUACUGUGAUAAUCAUUUCAUGGUGUAUAUAAUUACAUCAUUAUGCUGGGCACCUUAAACUUAUAUAGUAUGUCAAUUAUAUCUUAAUAAAACUGGAAGAAAAAAAUAAUUAAAUGAGAGUAUUUAACAAAAAUUUUAAAAAGACCAAAGAGGUUUUCUCUCAGGUUUUGGAAGAGAUUCACCAUUCUACAUGGCAUGAUUCAUGGGACGUGGUCAAGAUAUCAACAUUAACCAGAGUUUGGAAGAAGGUGAUUUCAGCUCUCAUGGAUGACUUUGAGAAUUAUAAUUAGAAAUGGUGCCUGAAGAUGUGACUGAAUUGCUGCAGUCUCAUGAUAAAACUUCAAUGGAUGAAGAGUUGCUUCCUUUGGAUGAGCAGAGAAAGUGGUUUCUUAACGUGGAACCCACUCCUGGUGAAGAUGCUGUGAAAAUGGUUUAAAUGCCAGUAAAGGAUUUAGAAUGUGAUAUAAAUUUAGUUGAUAAGGCAGUGGCUGAGUUUGAGAAGAUGGACUCCAAUUUUGAAAGUUAUGCUGUGAGUAAAAUGCUGUCAAACAACUUUACAUGCUACUGAGAAAUUGUUUCUGAAAGGAAGAGUCAAGUGAUGUGGUAAACUUUAUUUUAAAUCACAGCCUUCACUAACCACCACCCUGAUCAGAUCAGUCAGCAGCCACUGACAUAGAGACAAGAACCUCAUCAGCAAAAAGAUUAUGACUCACUGCAGGCUCAGAUGAUGGUUAGAAUUUUUUAGCAACACUAUUUUUUUCUUCCAGUGUGAUCUCCUUUUCUAUACAUUUGUGUAUUUGCUUGUUUUUUUGGAACUAUAAUUGACUUGCAACACUAUGUUACACAACAUAAUGAUUUUUUCUGUACAUCUCAAAAUGAUCACCAUGAUAAGUUUAGUCACUUUAUAUGUCACCACACAAAGAUCUUACCUUAUUUGGUCUAUAUUCCCCACAUUAUACAUUUCGUAGCUGUGAC